UACGAGGGGGGCGAGCGUUGUUCGGAAUUAUUGGGCGUAAAGGGUGCGUAGGCGGUUCCGCAAGUCCUGUGUGAAAUCUUCGGGCUCAACUCGAAGUCUGCACGGGAAACUGCGGGGCUUGAGUGUGGGAGAGGUGAGUGGAAUUCCCGGUGUAGCGGUGAAAUGCGUAGAUAUCAGGAGGAACACCGGUGGCGAAGGCGGGUCUCUGGGCCGAUACUGACGCUGAGGAGCGAAAGCGUGGGGAGCGAACAGG
rnacentral:rRNA from 1 species